rnacentral:rRNA from 1 species
UACGUAGGGUGCGAGCGUUAAUCGGAAUUACUGGGCGUAAAGCGUGCGCAGGCGGUUCGCCAAGUCAGGUGUGAAAUCCCCGGGCUUAACCUGGGAAUUGCGAUGGAGACUGCAAGGCUAGAAUCUGGCAGAGGGGGGUAGAAUUCCACGUGUAGCAGUGAAAUGCGUAGAGAUGUGGAGGAACACCGAUGGCGAAGGCAGCCCCCUGGGUCAAGAUUGACGCUCAUGCACGAAAGGCGUGGGGAGCAAACAGG